UACGGGGGGGGGCAAGCGUUGUUCGGAAUUACUGGGCGUAAAGGGCUCGUAGGCGGCCAACUAAGUCAGACGUGAAAUCCCUCAGCUUAACUGGGGAACUGCGUCUGAUACUGGAUGGCUUGAGUUUGGGAGAGGGACGCGGAAUUCCAGGUGUAGCGGUGAAAUGCGUAGAUAUCUGGAGGAACACCGGUGGCGAAGGCGGCGUCCUGGACCAACACUGACACUGAUGAGCGAAAGCCAGGGGAGCAAACGGG
rnacentral:rRNA from 1 species